CACUGGCCUGGUAGUUCUGGACCUGUGAGGUGUGCGGGCGGGUGGCUGCGAGAGGCUUUGGCGGACAUGGCUCCCAACGCGCCGGCAGCCGAACCCGAGUGUCCUAAAGGCAUCCGGGCUGUGCUGCUGGGGCCACCUGGGGCUGGCAAGGGUACGCAGGCCCCCAAAUUGGCAGAAAACUUCUGUGUCUGCCAUUUGGCCACUGGAGAUAUGCUGAGGGCCAUGGUAGCUUCUGGCUCAGAACUGGGAAAAAAGUUGAAAGCAACUAUGGAUGCUGGGAAACUGGUGAGUGAUGAAAUGGUAGUGGAGCUUAUUGAGAAGAAUUUGGAGACCCCGUCAUGCAAAAAUGGCUUUCUUCUGGACGGCUUCCCUCGGACUGUGAGACAGGCAGAAAUGCUUGAUGAUCUCAUGGAGAAGAGGAAAGAGAAGCUUGAUUCUGUGAUUGAAUUCCGCAUUCCAGACUCCCUGCUAAUCCGGAGAAUCACUGGAAGGCUGAUUCACCCCAGAAGUGGCCGGUCCUACCAUGAGGAGUUCAAUCCCCCAAAGCAACCCAUGAAAGAUGAUAUCACUGGGGAACCCUUGAUCCGCCGAUCAGAUGAUAAUGAGAAGGCCUUGAAAAUACGCCUGGAAGCCUACCACUCCCAGACCACCCCACUUGUGGAGUACUACAGGAAGCGGGGGAUCCACUCUGCCAUCAAUGCAUCCCAGACCCCUGAUGUCGUAUUUGCAAGCAUCCUAGCAGCUUUCUCCAAAGCCACAUGUAAAGACUUGGUUAUGUUUAUCUAAUGUUGGGUUCUGAAAGGAAUUUCUUCUUCCUAUCCCUGUUAAGGGCGUGGGUAGGAAUGGCAGGGCAGGCAGAGGGAAGCGUCCUUCCUCAGGCUAGAAGAAUCUCUCUUGAUUUACUGAUUAAAAAGCACUUGCUUGAUGUACCUGGUGUGUAGGCAACUCUCAUCUCAUCUGUGUGUCUGUGUGUGUUAUCAGUAUGUGGUCACUCCUACUUUCUAUGUUUGGGUCUCAGUUGCUUUACCAACUAUUUAUUUCUUUAGCCAUACUCUUGUAGGUUUUUUUUUUUUUUUUUUUUGGCAGUGGUGAGGUACUGGGGAUUGAAUUCAGGGGCACUUGACCACUGAGCCACAUUUCCAGCCCUAUUUUGUAUUUUAUUUAGAGACAGGGUUUUAAUGAGUUGCUUAGCACCUUGCUUUUGCUGAGGCUGGCUUUGAACUCACAGUCCUCCUGCCUCAGUCUCCCGAGCUGCUGGGAUGACAAGCUUUCUUUAGCCAUACUCUUGAUUUUAUUUUUUAACCAAAAUAAACCAUACCAGGUAUCUGCCAGGUACCCAGUUCCAAAGCCUCAUAGUAUUUUUCCCAGCUGAUAAGAAGUCCAAGGUCACAUGAAGUCAGACAGUUCCUGAUGUAGAGAGUUGGCAGGGAAUUCCACUUUUCAGUCUACAAUGAAAAGCUACAAGAGUCAGCAGCUGGAUAGGGAUUAUUAAUUUCCCCCCAAAUUGGGAAAAUAAAAGGCACUUAUAUUGCAAAUUCCAGAAUUUACUGGGAGAAGUCAUCACUAUACAAAGAGCCAAGCCAGGUUGAAAUAGUUUUGUGAUCUGUAUCAUGGUGCUGCUAUAAGGUAUGGAUCCUUUGGGACUUGGGUUUGAAAACUGAAUUGUUUCAAAGAAUUAAACCAGGUAAAAGGUCCUUUGGAAUUCAGAUUGUCUUCUGAACAUCCAGACUGGACAACUGAGAGCAGCCAAAUCUACUUCCCCAAAGAGAGACCAGGGUAGGUUUUUUUGCUUUGUUUUUAAUGUUUGCCUUUGUUUCCAAGUAUCAACAAAAUAGUGAUUUGGGGGAUGAUCUGUUCUUUUAUUCAUUUUGGUCAGAAUUUAUUCAAACCCAGUCCCUCUCUAGGAUAUAAAACCCAAAUCAAAUGUGUCCUUUUUAAACCCAAACCUCUCCCUCCCAUCCAGUCUUUCGCCCUUUAUUUCAUGAUGGUAAUAGCUACGGAACCCAAGAAAAAAAAUCACCCCAAAAUAAGAUCACCUAUGACAGUCACAAAGUUUUUGUUUAUAACAUUGGCUUCCCUGCUAUUAAGCAUUUCCUAGGGUCCAUGCUGUGCCUUUUGGUCUCUGGUUUGAUUGUGCCAAACAGAUGAAUUAAUGGGUUCCUGUGAAGAGACCACAAAACCUGCAGCCUCUGGAAAAACCAUUAGAAAGUCAGUGGUACAUUCACCUAGUAAAGAAGGCCAGGCGAGACUGCACCACUGCUCAUCACCCCGCGGCGUGAUCCCUGCUCUUUGGUGCUGGGCAGAGGGGAAGGGUGUCAGGGGAAGCAUGGAGAGGGAAGGACUAUUUGGAAGACCAGCAGUGUUGUAGUGAGUGGGGGUUUUUUUUACAUGUAGGUGGGAGUUUUAAAAAUAUAAACAAUUAAUUUAAAAAAAAAAAUACUGUGAUUGAGGGUGUGGAUACAAAUAGGGUGAUACUUUUAUUUCUAAGCAAUCGGGUUUUCAUUUACUCUGAACUGGUGACAAUAUAUUUUAAAGCCAGUGUUCUUAGACCUCAGCUUUUAUCUCAGAACCUCAUGGGGUGCCAGGCCAAGAAUGCAGGAAAUCAAACUGUGGUCCUGUGUGUUCUGUAGCUUAGAAGAGAGGAUGUUUGAUUGUUAACGCUGGUGCCCCACACCAUAAGAUCAAAAAAUCAUCUCUAUAGGCUAGGGAUGUACCUCAGCAAUAGAGCACUUGCCUAGCAUGUGCAAGGACCUGGUUCAAUCCCCAGCAUCAAUUAAAAAAAAAAAAUCAUCUCCACACCUAAAAGAGAUAAGGGGUGUAUCGUUGGAGGUGGGGCUUCACAAAUCAAGUUUUCUAGUGUUGGGGAAAAAAGGGGAGGUGGGUCUCUUUCCCUUCCCCUGAUUCACCACUGUCAUGGCUAAGCUCACUGUCUCAGCAACCACCCAGCACGAGCCACAAUCUUAUGCCUUCUUUCAUCUGUGGUGUGUGAAAGGACCCUUUUUAAUAAAUGAGCAAGGCCUGGGGAUGUAGCUCAGUCGUAUAAUGCUUGCCUGGCAUGCACAAGGCCCUGAGUUUAGUCCCCAGCACCAUGAAAAAUAAGUAAAUAAAAAUAAUAAAAUGAACAAGUGUCCUAAGCUAUAUCAUCCAAAGAUUACCCUUUCCAUCCUCAUAUCCUGUGAGUGGGACACUCGACAGCACUGUGAUGUAUUAUCUUCAAUGAGGUGCCUUUCUUAAUUGACCAAAUGCUGCCUUGUUUGACCCUAAGUCAAUAAAGUAUGUUAAAAAUUUGUA